rnacentral:rRNA from 1 species
AAACCAACUGGGAUUACCUUAGUAACGGCGAGUGAAGCGGUAAAAGCUCAAAUUUGAAAUCUGGUACUUUCAGUGCCCGAGUUGUAAUUUGUAGAAUUUGUCUUUGAUUAGGUCCUUGUCUAUGUUCCUUGGAACAGGACGUCAUAGAGGGUGAGAAUCCCGUUUGGCGAGGAUACCUUUUCUCUGUAAGACUUUUUCGAAGAGUCGAGUUGUUUGGGAAUGCAGCUCAAAGUGGGUGGUAAAUUCCAUCUAAAGCUAAAUAUUGGCGAGAGACCGAUAGCGAACAAGUACAGUGAUGGAAAGAUGAAAAGAACUUUGAAAAGAGAGUGAAAAAGUACGUGAAAUUGUUGAAAGGGAAGGGCAUUUGAUCAGACAUGGUGUUUUUAGCAUGCACUCGCCUCUCGUGGGCUUGGGCCUCUCAAAAAUUUCACUGGGCCAACAUCAAUUUUGGCGGCAGGAAAAAUCCUUUGGAAUGUAGCUACCUCGGUAGUGUUAUAGCCUUUUGAAAUCUGUCAGCUGGGA